UACGUAGGGUGCAAGCGUUAAUCGGAAUUACUGGGCGUAAAGCGUGCGCAGGCGGUCUUGCAAGACAGAUGUGAAAUCCCCGGGCUCAACCUGGGAACUGCAUUUGUGACUGCAAGGCUGGAGUGCGGCAGGGGGGGAUGGAAUUCCGCGUGUAGCAGUGAAAUGCGUAGAUAUGCGGAGGAACACCGAUGGCGAAGGCAAUCCCCUGGGCCUGCACUGACGCUCAUGCACGAAAGCGUGGGGAGCAAACAGG
rnacentral:rRNA from 1 species